rnacentral:tRNA from 1 species
GGGUAUAUAGCUCAGUGGUGGAGCGUGUACUUAGCAUAUGUGAGAUCCUGGGUUCAAUCCCCAGUAUCUCCA